rnacentral:tRNA from 1 species
AAGGAUUUAAGUUAAACUAAACUGUUAGCCUUCAAAGCUAUCAAUAAAGGCAUUCUUUAAGCCUUA